ACCUACGGGGGGCAGCAGUGAGGAAUAUUGGUCAAUGGGCGCGAGCCUGAACCAGCCAAGUCGCGUGAGGGAAGACGGUCCUAUGGAUUGUAAACCUCUUUUGUCGGGGAGCAAAAGACGCCACGUGUGGCGUUCCGAGAGUACCCGAAGAAAAAGCAUCGGCUAACUCCGUGCCAGCAGCCGCGGUAAUACGGAGGAUGCAAGCGUUAUCCGGAUUUACUGGGUGUAAAGGGAGCGUAGACGGUGCGCCAAGUCUGGAGUGAAAUGCCGCAGCUUAACUGCGGAACUGCUUUGGAAACUGGCGA
rnacentral:rRNA from 1 species